GGGGUGCCGGGAGGAAGGGGUUGGAGAGGGGUGGAGGGAGCCUCGACGGGGAAGAAACUUUGGGCAGCUUUUCUCAAGGCUCCGCCGGGUGCCCCCCGCCUGCACUCGGAGUCGUCAGGCCCCGCCCAGGGCCGCUGUUUGCCGGGUAGAUUCUGCCCAGGAGACGCCGGUGAGACGGGAGAGUUUGGACGUGCUCGGGCGCCCCUCAAAGAUUUGGCUUUUCCUGCUGACAGCUCCCCACCCCCAUCCAAGGAACUCGGACCAGAGCGGUCCACGAGGGACAAGGGGAGGGAGGAGGAGUUAGAAGUCAGUCGGGAAGAUUUGGCAGUGGCCGCAGGCGGACGCCUGAGAAUCUGCUUCUUGGAGGAUCCCGCCUUUCCUCCCUCUCCUCACCGGGCCGGCUGCCCCGCGGCCGGACCGCCCCUGCUCAGCGCUCUCUGCUCCUCGCCGGCCGGGCGGGGACUCAGAUUUAACCCCACGGGGCCCACAGCCCGAAAAGCGCGCGGCACUCCCGUGUGGCCUCUACGGAAGUUGACUCGGGUCAGCAGCGCAGGCAGUCUGCCCACGGGCGGCGGGGGCAGGGAGUCUAGGACGGCUGUGGCCCUUCCCCCGUGGGCGGUCGGGGAGGACAGAGUGGAGGCAAACCCCUCCACCCUCCCCCCUCUCAGCUCAGACUGGGCUGUGGCCACUUCUAGCAUGGGAACCAGGUCUCUGAGCUCCAGAAUGAGGGGCUUAAAAAGGGGGUCUUGUUUUUUGCUUCUUUCUCAGGGCGGGAGUGGCAACACGCAGUGCUGGUUCUCUGGGAGAAGGGCAGGCAGAGUAGGUAGGAGAGGAGAGUGUUGCUGCUGUUUCUUCUGUUUUGAAAAGCCCCGGGCUUAGUUCCUUCCCAGGCUGGUCCUUUCCACUUCGGUUUCCCCUCAGUUCUGAGCUGUUGCAGGCUGGAGCCCACCAGGGCUCCCAGUGCCAGAACCCAAGCCACCACAGAGCUGGGCCUCUGCCCUCAGUUUAGGACUGUGGAACCUGUGUCUAGACCACCUUUCUUUGUUCCCACCCCUUUACAAUUUCUGGGGAGUUUGUGCUAAGAGCACUGGAAUGGAAGCCCAGAGCUCUAAGUUCAUGUUUUGGCUUUGCUGGGUACCUAUGAGCAAGGUUCAUAUUUAUUCUAAAGGUCCGUUUCCUUUGCAAGAUUUGUAACAGUUUCCACCCCUGCUCUAGCGUUGUAGAGGUCCUCUGGGGGAGUUGCAGGCAUGACAGAGUGGAACCCUCAGACUCUCCCUGAGACUUUUGCUUCUGGGUGUGUUGACCACAGGGUGGUCAGAGAAUGUUCGCUACCAGUAUUAGGGACAGCUCCCUGCAGAAAUCCAGGUGGCAACUUCAGAAUCUGCAUCUGUUGGCUGGGAGGAGCCCUGUGGCAUCCAGGCCACUUUAUCCAGAGUCCUGUGUGCUGCCACACAGGGUUCACCUGAGUUGGCCUUAGAGGACCCUGGGAAAUAGUUACCCCUGGCUGCACUGAGCCUCACAGCCUACCUUGCUGAACCCCAAGAAGGGGCAACCUACUCUUUCCGAGACCUGUUCUUCAGCCGUAUGGUUAGUGACUGGCUGGCUGGGCCCAGCUCCGGCCAUGGCCAUCUUACAUCUUGGCAAGAUCAGGCUGGGGUUGAAGGGGAGUACCCUGGUCCCGUUCUGGUGGGUGGGACUGGGCAGUAACUUCCUGGUGUGAGACCUUGGGCCAGUUUACAGUCCUCUCCAGCUCAUUCUCGCCUCCUAUUACAUGAGGCCUGUGUGAUCUUUCAGACCCCUGCUGGUUCAGGGCUGGGGCGGGUUGAAGAAUACUGACAUUGGGUAAUCUUUGCAACCUCAGCCACAGCUCGCACUGUGAAUAUGCCCCUCCCUGGACCCUUGGAGCCUCAAGAUUGAACUUCCCCCAGGACAGGGUCCUGCCCAUGUUCAGCUAAGGUAGAUUUUCUGGAGCUUCAGACUCACCGUCCCUUUCAGCAUUGCCCUCUUUGCAGCCCCUGGGCAUUAAGCCCAAGAGUCAGCCCUGCCAGAACGGAGGUGGGACCUGCCACCUUGGGUAAUAUAAUGUAUGCCAUAUGAAAUGUCAUUACAGAGCAAGCACAGAAAACCUGUAACACCAUAACCCAAAGUAUGGGGGUGUGUCCAUAUGCCACUAGCUCUCCCCUUCCCCCCAUAUUUGUAGGAAACCAGUUCUAGCAGGUCUGGACUAGAACCUCCUGCCAGCAGGCAGCUGAGUGCCUGCCCUAAAAAGGUUACAAGCUCAGCUAGGGUCCCUUCACAGGCUGCAGCCCCCUCCCUGCCCAGCCCCCUCCCUGACAGUCUUUGCUACAGGACAGAGCACUUGGGAGGUGUCUGCGUAGGGAUUUGAUAGACGCCAGCCUGACCUUAAGGCAGUCUGAGCCCCGGGUUUCAGUGCUCAGAGCAGCUGCUAGAGAGGCCUGCGGGUGCCGGGUGCCUUGUGUCUACUCCACCCCAACCCAUGUUAUCACAUACUCUUUCCUCUGCUAAGACAUGCUGGAGAGGCCUGCUUUCAUCAAGCACAAAUAGGAGAAACUCCAUGGCUGCGGGGGAGCAAAGUUUUGUAGACCUGUGGAAAUUUGGGCCUCACUGAAAUGUCUCCUAUCACCUCCAAGGUGCACUGGAAGUCCCUUGGGAUGGGACUUUCUGGAAGGCACAGCAGGGGAAGGUGGGUGUGCUACACCCAGUGAGCUCACGCUGACACAAUACUUUUGCCUCUGACUCUUGUUCAGGGACAGUCUAGGGCCUUGUGUCUAGAGCUGGACCAGACGCUCCCCAGAGCAAGACUCAAGGACCCCCACAGAUGGCACCCAUUGCCCAGCCCAGGGCUGGCACAUCGCCCACUCGGGGGACUUCUGGGGAAAGGGAGAAGGCAGCCGCACCAGCCUCCCAAAGGCUUCCCUGACUUUGGGUUGGGGCCAUUUCGAAAAGAAGGGGGUGAUCUAAGGAGAAGGAGCUGCUUGCCGCCUAUUUCCAACGCCGGCAGAGAAGGGAGAGCGGGCUCGGUGCUAAACCAGAGGACCAGAAGCUUCUUUUUUUUUCUUUUUUGAUCUUUAUUUUUCCAGCCUAUAAAGGCUACAGAAAUCCCCUGGGCAGACUCCGGCGUAGCGCCGCCCGCCUCCGGCCCUCCCUGCCGCCGCGCACCCCGGGCCCAGAGCUCUGGGGAGCCCCGGCCGGCCGGGGAUGAAGAGGUAGGGGGCGUCGGUCCUCCCGGCGCUCAGAGCCCGCUGUGGCCGCCGCACACUCGCCCGAGCCGGCCUCCGCCCGGCCCGGCAGGCGGCGCGUUUCGUUGAAGGCGGGCACGCGGCGCGGGCUGUGUGCGCCCGGCCUCCCGGCUCCUCCGGCCGCGCCCUCGCCCUCGCCCUCGCGCUCGCCGGUCCCCGGCCGCCGGGCGGACGCAGAGCGGGCCGUCGCAAGCCCCGCGCCCCACGGGUUUCUGUUGCCCAGCGUUUGGGGCAGGUCAAGGCGCGAGGAUUCCGCUCGCAUGAAUUCUGCGUUUCCGAAAAUGGUCCCCGCGACGCCUCGACGCCCCGAGGUGCCUGGGUACUAGGCUUCCGGCGGCCGCCCUCCUGAAACGGCGCGAAACGGGGCGUCGCCCGCGCCGCACGUGGCAGGCACGUCACAGGGCCCCAAGGGCCGGAGCAGCAGAGUCCCCCUGGGGCCACCGCGGCCCCUCCGCCCUUCUGGCCUCUGCUUGCGACCCCCGCGGCGGCCUGGAGGGCCCUCACGAGAAAACGGUUCGGAGGCCGCGGGCUCACGGGGCAUCUUGUUCAAACGAAAAGAGCGAGAACAGGGGCUUGGCGCCCGUUUGGAGGCCUCCAAACCGGCCAAUCGGCCCGAGGCGACACCGUGACCGACCGGGACUAGAGGCGGGUACCCAGGCCCGGGCGCUGUCCGCCUUGCUACGACGCCCGGCCCGGCUCGCGGCCUUCCGUCCCAGCCCGCAGUCCCCGCUUGGUCCCGGUGUCCCUUCCCACCCGCGUCGCGCUCCCUCCAGGGCUGGCAGGGGACGCCGGGCCCCUUCGCCUGGGAAGGGGAUGGGGGCGCGGCGGGCCGGGCAUCCGGCUGAGAGGGCCAGGCUCUCGGCUUUGGUUCAGGAAGCCGCGGGAGUCCGCGCGGGAUUUUCCUUCCGAGGGGCGGUUCGAAGGCCUGUGCGUCCACGACCUGCUUUCGCCGGUCUGCCCGCGAGCGCCCCCACGCGGCAGGGCCCAGAUGCAGGGUCGGCGGGUCGCCGAUAGGUGCUGCUCCAGCCUAUGUCACAGGAUGAAAAAGAAGAUGGAGCAGAGUACCAACCUGAAGCAGAGUCAUGGCUGGUCUGCAGCCUGGCUUUAAUAUGGAGAAUUCCCGGGUUGAAGUGAACUGCUCUGUGAAGACCUCCUCAGGAUGUUUCCUCCCUGCUGCCUGGCUGUUCAUAGGACGUAACAUCCACAUGCCUUCGCCUGACCUGAACCCGGGGCCGCGGUCUGAGUGAUUGCUCCUGUACGUCCUUUGCCUUCUUGGAGGACCAAUCUCUGUUGUUUCUCAUAGCUUCCCAUCCCCACAAAGGUCACUGUGCUCCCCUGCCCAGCACUUAGCAUUUGUGGGUAAAUAGUAGAGGCUUAAUAGAUUUUGGGGGGCCUGGAUUGCAUUGAAAAAAUAAAAAUAAGACCGUAGAACUUCUCACACGUAGUGGGCCUUUUGUGAAACACAAGCAGUGGUUCCUCUUUGGAGGAAAAUAAAGACAGUCUUGGGCAUGUUUCAUCAAGAACCACUAGGUAUCAAGCAAUUAUCAGUUAAUGAGGAUUUCUGGGACCCUUGGAGCCCUCAGUCUGAUUUGUAGCAGGGGAGGGAAGGUGGGCAUCAUGUUCAGCUGCUUGCUGCUCUCCUGACAGACUUCUUGGUGUAGCACAUUUAAUCCUUGUCAUUAAAAUACAUAAAACUGUUUUGAGAUUUUAUGACAUAUUUUCCAAGAAAGUCUUAUCACCUGUAUCAUGCUGAACAAUGGUCCUCAAUACUUGGAAGCUGUCCAUGUUACCUUAUAUGGCAAACUCUGCAGAUAUGAUUAGCUUAAGGAUUUAAGGAGAUGGGGAGAUUAUUCUGAGUUAUCCAGGUGGGCCCUAAUGUGAUCACAUGUAUCUUUGUAAGAGGG